rnacentral:rRNA from 1 species
GACGUAGGAUGCGAGCGUUAUUCGGAUUUAUUGGGCGUAAAGCGUGCGUAGGCGGCCAACUAAGUCGGACGUGAAAUCCCCAGGCUCAACCUGGGAACUGCGUCCGAUACUGGAUGGCUUGAAUCCGGGAGAGGGAUGCAGAAUUCCAGGUGUAGCGGUGAAAUGCGUAGAUAUCUGGAGGAAUACCGGUGGCGAAGGCGGCAUCCUGGACCGGCAUUGACGCUGAGGAGCGAAAGCCAGGGGAGCAAACGGG